UACAGAGGGUGCAAGCGUUGUUCGGAAUUAUUGGGCGUAAAGAGCUCGUAGGCGGUUUGUUGCGUCGGCUGUGAAAUCCCGAGGCUCAACCUCGGGCUCUGCAGUCGAUACGAGCAAACUAGAGUGUUGCAGGGGAGACUGGAAUUCCUGGUGUAGCGGUGAAAUGCGCAGAUAUCAGGAGGAACACCGGUGGCGAAGGCGGGUCUCUGGGCAACAACUGACGCUGGAGGAGCGAAAGCGUGGGGAGCGAACAGG
rnacentral:rRNA from 1 species